GGUCCGUUGGUGUAGUGGCUAUCACGUCAGGUUUUGAGGAUAUCUUCAUCUUCCCUCCUGAAGGUCGUCGGUUCGACCCCGGCACGGACCU